AGCAGACACCAACGGCUACCAGUACAAGGUAGGACCUCUUGAGCCUCUCCCACAUUCACACUGGAAUGCUGACUGGCUUAAUCUCAUCCAGAUCUCUCCCAGUUCCUCAAGCAGAAGACAGGUAAACUCUACAGCAACUGUUGGCAGGGAGUGUGCUACCACUAUCCUGUUCCUGGGAAGGAGCUCAGAGGAACACACGCCUGGAAUCUGCACAGCACAUGGAAACUUCUCUCAGAAUUGCAGCAACUGAGCUGUGGGUUUAGUUCCUUUAUAACCAAAGGACCAUGUUCUGCUUCCAAGUCAGCCUCGACAGUGUGACCAGCCUGCUCGUUCUCCGGCCAACACACACUGAGGCAUUGCGGCAGCUGUGGCAUCUACGACAAACUUAAAUCCCCUGAAAUCAGGAGCUAUCUCUCCCUCAAACUGCCUUUGUCAAGUAUUGUGUUUCUGUCACAAGAAAAGUAACUGAUAUAAAUACAUUUCACUCCCAACUCUCA